GAUGAACGCUGGCGGCGUGCCUAAUACAUGCAAGUCGAGCGAACAGACGAGGAGCUUGCUCCUCUGACGUUAGCGGCGGACGGGUGAGUAACACGUGGAUAACCUACCUAUAAGACUGGGAUAACUUCGGGAAACCGGAGCUAAUACCGGAUAAUAUAUUGAACCGCAUGGUUCAAUAGUGAAAGACGGUUUUGCUGUCACUUAUAGAUGGAUCCGCGCCGCAUUAGCUAGUUGGUAAGGUAACGGCUUACCAAGGCAACGAUGCGUAGCCGACCUGAGAGGAUGAUCGGCCACACUGGAACUGAGACACGGUCCAGACUCCUACGGGAGGCAGCAGUAGGGAAUCUUCCGCAAUGGGCGAAAGCCUGACGGAGCAACGCCGCGUGAGUGAUGAAGGUCUUCGGGUCGUAAACCUCUGUUAUUAGGGAAGAACAAAUGUGUAAGUAACUAUGCACGUCUUGACGGUACCUAAUCAGAAAGCCACGGCUAACUACGUG
rnacentral:rRNA from 1 species